UGGAAUUGAAAAUAAAUUUACAUGCAAAUUUAUUUAUUGGUCUCAUGCAGGUGAUAAGAUGGGAAAAAUAUUUGCUCUAUUUCCAGUCAUGUAUUUAUCAGCUGGAACGGGUGUUGCCCUUAUUAUUUUUGGAGGAUCAACACUGAAGCUUUUCCACCAAAUUGUAUGUGGAGGCCAUGGUUGUUCAGCGAAGCCAUUAACAACAGUUGAAUGGUACUUGGAGUUUACAUGUGCCGCUGCGCUUCUAUCUCAGCCGCCCAACCUGAAUUCCAUAGCUGGGGUCUCUCUUGUUGAAGCUGCCACAGCCAUAGGCUACUGUACAAUAAUGUGGCUGGUGUCUCUCACCGAGGGAAGGCUAGAUGGCGUAUCUUAUGAUAGGAUAAAAGAGGAAAAGAACAUGGCAAUGAUUUUCAGCGUUCUCAACGCUCUCGGGAUCAUUGCUUUUUCUUUUUGAGGCCACAAUCUUACAUUCGA
rnacentral:misc_RNA from 1 species